CCUACGGGAGGCAGCAGUGGGGGAUAUUGCACAAUGGGGGAAACCCUGAUGCAGCGACGCCGCGUGUGGGAAGACGGUCCUCUGGAUUGUAAACCACUGUCCCCAGGGACGAAGAUGACGGUACCUGGGGAGGAAGCUCCGGCUAACUACGUGACAGCAGCCGCGGUAAUACGUAGGGAGCGAGCGUUGUCCAGAAUUACUGGGUGUAAAGGGAGCGUAGGCGGGACUGCAAGUUGGGUGUCAAAGCUACCGGGUCAACCGGUAGCCGCACUCAAAACUGCAGUUCUUGAGUGAAGUAGAGGCAGGCGGAAUUCCUAGUGUAGCUGUGAAAUGCGUAGAUAUUAGGAGGAACACCAGUGGCGAAGGCGGCCUGCUGGGCUUUUACUGACGCUGAGGCUCGAAAGUGUGGGGAGCAAACAGGAUUAGAUACCCUGGUAGUC
rnacentral:rRNA from 1 species